GCAGUCGAACGCUUUGUGGUUCCUGAUUUGAAGAGCUUGCUCAGAUAUGACGAUGGACAUUGCAAAGAGUGGCGAACGGGUGAGUAACACGUGGGAAACCUACCUCUUAGCAGGGGAUAACAUUUGGAAACAGAUGCUAAUACCGUAUAACAAUGACAACCGCAUGGUUGUUAUUUAAAAGAUGGUUCUGCUAUCACUAAGAGAUGGUCCCGCGGUGCAUUAGCUAGUUGGUAAGGUAAUGGCUUACCAAGGCGAUGAUGCAUAGCCGAGUUGAGAGACUGAUCGGCCACAAUGGGACUGAGACACGGCCCAUACUCCUACGGGAGGCAGCAGUAGGGAAUCUUCCACAAUGGGCGAAAGCCUGAUGGAGCAACGCCGCGUGUGUGAUGAAGGGUUUCGGCUCGUAAAACACUGUUGUAAGAGAAGAAUGACAUUGAGAGUAACUGUUCAAUGUGUGACGGUAUCUUACCAGAAAGGAACGGCUAAAUACGUGCCAGCAGCCGCGGUAAUACGUAUGUUCCAAGCGUUAUCCGGAUUUAUUGGGCGUAAAGCGAGCGCAGACGGUUAUUUAAGUCUGAAGUGAAAGCCCUCAGCUCAACUGAGGAAUUGCUUUGGAAACUGGAUGACUUGAGUGCAGUAGAGGAAAGUGGAACUCCAUGUGUAGCGGUGAAAUGCGUAGAUAUAUGGAAGAACACCAGUGGCGAAGGCGGCUUUCUGGACUGUAACUGACGUUGAGGCUCGAAA
rnacentral:rRNA from 1 species